rnacentral:rRNA from 1 species
GACGAACGCUGGCGGCGUGCUUAACACAUGCAAGUCGAACGAUGAAGCCGGAGCUUGCUCCGGUGGAUUAGUGGCGAACGGGUGAGUAACACGUGAGCAACCUGCCCUUGACUCUGGGAUAACUGCGGGAAACUGUAGCUAAUACCGGAUACGACACCUUGGGGCAUCCCAGGGUGUGGAAAGAAUUUCGGUCAAGGAUGAGCUCGCGGCCUAUCAGCUAGUUGGUGAGGUAAUGGCUCACCAAGGCGCCGACGGGUAGCCGGCCUGAGAGGGUGACCGGCCACACUGGAACUGAGACACGGUCCAGACUCCUACGGGAGGCAGCAGUGGGGAAUAUUGCACAAUGGGCGAAAGCCUGAUGCAGCAACGCCGCGUGAGGGAUGAAGGCCUUCGGGUUGUAAACCUCUUUUAGCAGGGAAGAAGCGAAAGUGACGGUACCUGCAGAAAAAGCACCGGCUAACUACGUGCCAGCAGCCGCGGUAA